rnacentral:rRNA from 1 species
UACAGAGGAUGCAAGCGUUAUCCGGAAUGAUUGGGCGUAAAGCGUCUGUAGGUGGCUUUUUAAGUCCGCCGUCAAAUCCCAGGGCUCAACUCUGGACAGGCGGUGGAAACUACCAAGCUGGAGUACGGUAGGGGCAGAGGGAAUUUCCGGUGGAGCGGUGAAAUGCGUAGAGAUCUGGAGGAAUACCGGUGGCGAAGGCGGCCCCCUGGACAAAGACUGACGCUCAGGUGCGAAAGCGUGGGGAGCAAACAGG